rnacentral:rRNA from 1 species
UACGAAGGGGGCUAGCGUUGCUCGGAAUCACUGGGCGUAAAGGGUGCGUAGGCGGGUCUUAAGUCAGGGGUGAAAUCCUGGAGCUCAACUCCAGAACUGCCUUUGAUACUGAGGAUCUUGAGUUCGGGAGAGGUGAGUGGAACUGCGAGUGUAGAGGUGGAAUUCGUAGAUAUUAGGAAGAACACCAGUGGCGAAAGGCGGCUUACUGGUCCGGUACUGACGCUGAGGUGCGAAAGCGUGGGGAGCAAACAGGG